rnacentral:rRNA from 1 species
GCGAACGCUGGCGGCAGGCCUCACACAUGCAAGUCGAACGAACCUUUCGGGGUUAGUAGCGGACGGGUGAGUAACACGUGGGAACGUGCCUUUAGGUUCGGAAUAACUCAGGGAAACUUGUGCUAAUACCGAAUGUGCCCUUCGGGGGAAAGAUUUAUCGCCUUUAGAGCGGCCCGCGUCUGAUUAGCUAGUUGGUUGAGGUAAUGGCUCACCAAGGCGACGAUCAGUAGCUGGUCUGAGAGGAUGAUCAGCCACAUUGGGACUGAGACACGGCCCAAACUCCUACGGGAGGCAGCAGUGGGGAAUCUUGCGCAAUGGGCGAAAGCCUGACGCAGCCAUGCCGCGUGAAUGAUGAAGGUCUUAGGAUUGUAAAAUUCUUUCACCGGGGACGAUAAUGACGGUACCCGGAGAAGAAGCCCCGGCUAACUUCGUG